UGAAGAGAGGAGCUUGCUCUUCUUGGAUGAGUUGCGAACGGGUGAGUAACGCGUAGGUAACCUGCCUUGUAGCGGGGGAUAACUAUUGGAAACGAUAGCUAAUACCGCAUAACAAUGGAUGACACAUGUCAUUUAUUUGAAAGGGGCAAUUGCUCCACUACAAGAUGGACCUGCGUUGUAUUAGCUAGUAGGUGAGGUAACGGCUCACCUAGGCGACGAUACAUAGCCGACCUGAGAGGGUGAUCGGCCACACUGGGACUGAGACACGGCCCAGACUCCUACGGGAGGCAGCAGUAGGGAAUCUUCGGCAAUGGGGGCAACCCUGACCGAGCAACGCCGCGUGAGUGAAGAAGGUUUUCGGAUCGUAAAGCUCUGUUGUAAGUCAAGAACGAGUGUGAGAGUGGAAAGUUCACACUGUGACGGUAGCUUACCAGAAAGGGACGGCUAACUACGUGCCAGCAGCCGCGGUAAUACGUAGGUCCCGAGCGUUGUCCGGAUUUAUUGGGCGUAAAGCGAGCGCAGGCGGUUUGAUAAGUCUGAAGUUAAAGGCUGUGGCUCAACCAUAGUUCGCUUUGGAAACUGUCAAACUUGAGUGCAGAAGGGGAGAGUGGAAUUCCAUGUGUAGCGGUGAAAUGCGUAGAUAUAUGGAGGAACACCGGUGGCGAAAGCGGCUCUCUGGUCUGUAACUGACGCUGAGGCUCGAAAGCGUGGGGAGCGAACAGGAUUAGAUACCCUGGUAGUCCACGCCGUAAACGAUGAGUGCUAGGUGUUGGAUCCUUUCCGGGAUUCAGUGCCGCAGCUAACGCAUUAAGCACUCCGCCUGGGGAGUACGACCGCAAGGUUGAAACUCAAAGGAAUUGACGGGGGCCCGCACAAGCGGUGGAGCAUGUGGUUUAAUUCGAAGCAACGCGAAGAACCUUACCAGGUCUUGACAUCCCGAUGCUAUUUCUAGAGAUAGAAAGUUACUUCGGUACAUCGGU
rnacentral:rRNA from 1 species